GGGCAUGUGGUGUAAUUGGUAACACACGUAUCCACGGGGGAUCUCUUUAACUGGCACCCGGAGUUGUUGGUUCGAAUCCAACCAUGUCCA